rnacentral:rRNA from 1 species
AUUGAACGCUGGCGGCAGGCCUAACACAUGCAAGUCGAACGAGCGGGGGACGGGUGUGUAAUGUAUGGGGACUGCCCGAUAGAGGGGGAUAACUACUGGAAACGGUAGCUAAUACCGCAUACUAUCGGAUAACCCAUAUGGGAGUAGCUAGUUGGUGAGGUAAUGGCUCACCAAGGCGACGAUCCCUAGCUGGUCUGAGAGGAUGAUCAGCCACACUGGAACUGAGACACGGCCCAGACUCCUACGGAGGCAGCAGUGGGGAAUAUUGCACAAUGGGCGCAAGCCUGAUGCAGCCAUGCCGCGUGUAUGAAGAAGGCCUUAGGGUUGUAAAGUACUUUCAGUCGGGAGGCGUUACCGGCAGAAGAAGCACCGGCUAACUCCGUGCCAGCAGCCGCGGUAAUAC